GAUAAUCAAUGAAUAAAAGGAGAGUUUGAGGAUGGAUAUCUAGAUGAUGGAUAUAUUUCUAUAAUUGCAUAUUUCUAUAAUUUCUAUGAUAGAUGAUCCACAGGAAUUAGAGAAGUAUAGCGACGAUAACAAGGAACUGGCUUGGAUGUUCUUCAUUGACGGCUGUGUAAUUUUACAAGCAGUUUACAUGCGUUACGCGAGAGAGAAAAUGGCGAAAAAUUCAUGAAUGUAAUCCAAAGGUUCAUCGACGAUAUUGUUAUCAACCCAGGCGAGGACAGGGUAACAGACUCUUCAAAGAGGGAAAAUUUGAACUUGCCAGGGCAAAAUAUGAAAAUGUGUCUAAUGUGAUGCUGGAUAUGUUUACUUCAAGAAAAAUAAAGAGUGAGAUGUUUGAGGUUUA